rnacentral:misc_RNA from 1 species
GGUGGGAGCUGGCUUGCCUGCGAUGGCGGCGUGUCAGCUUGCACAUGAGUGGCUGAUACACCGCCAUCGCAGGCAAGCCAGCUCCCACA